rnacentral:rRNA from 1 species
UACGGAGGGUGCAAGCGUUAUCCGGAUUUACUGAGUUUAAAGGGUGUGUAGGCGGGCUUUUAAGUCAGCGGUGAAAUCUCCGGGCUCAACCUGGAAACUGCCAUUGAUACUAUUUGUCUUGAAUUUUUGUUGAGGUUGGCGGAAUAUGUCAUGUAGCGGUGAAAUGCAUAGAUAUGACAUAGAACUCCGAUUGCGAAGGCAGCUAACUAAGCAAAACAUUUGACGCUGAGGCACGAAAAGCGUGGGGGAUCAAACAGG